rnacentral:rRNA from 1 species
CCUACGGGAGGCAGCAGUGAGGAAUAUUGGUCAAUGGGCGAGAGCCUGAACCAGCCAAGUCGCGUGAAGGAUGACGGCCCUACGGGUUGUAAACUUCUUUUGUCAGGGAGCAAUUGGGUCCACGCGUGGGCUUAGCGAGAGUACCUGAAGAAAAAGCAUCGGCUAACUCCGUGCCAGCAGCCGCGGUAAUACGGAGGAUGCGAGCGUUAUCCGGAUUUACUGGGUGUAAAGGGAGCGUAGACGGCAUAGCAAGUCUGAAGUGAAAGCCCGUGGCUCAACCGCGGAACUGCUUUGGAAACUGUUAAGCUGGAGUACUGGAGAGGCAAGCGGAAUUCCUAGUGUAGCGGUGAAAUGCGUAGAUAUUAGGAGGAACACCAGUGGCGAAGGCGGCUUGCUGGACAGAGACUGACGUUGAGGCUCGAAAGCGUGGGGAGCAAACAGGAUUAGAUACCCCGGUAGUC